AGGACGAACGCUGGCGGCGUGCUUAACACAUGCAAGUCGAGCGGAAAGGCCCUUCGGGGUACUCGAGCGGCGAACGGGUGAGUAACACGUGAGCAACCUGCCCCUGGCUCUGGGAUAGCCUCCGGAAACGGGGAUUAAUACCGGACAUGACUCCUGACCGCAUGGUUGGGGGUGGAAAGUUUUUCGGCCAGGGUGGGGCUCGCGGCCUAUCAGCUUGUUGGGGGGGUGACGGCCCACCAAGGCGACGACGGGUAGCCGGCCUGAGAGGGCGACCGGCCACACUGGGACUGAGACACGGCCCAGACUCCUACGGGAGGCAGCAGUGGGGAAUAUUGCGCAAUGGGCGGAAGCCUGACGCAGCGACGCCGCGUGCGGGAUGAAGGCCUUCGGGUUGUAACCGCUUUCACCGAGGGCGAAGCGAGAGUGACGGUACCGUGGGGAAGAAGCGCCGGCUAACGUACGUGCCAGCAGCCGC
rnacentral:rRNA from 1 species